CAAAGAUUAGCUCAGAAUGGGAAAGUGUGGAGGUAUGUGUCCAACCAGUCUUAGGACUGACGACCUUAUGAUAAUGAGGAACAUUGUUAAAAUUCUGGAUACCAUUUGCUAUGGAAUAUCGGUCAUAUUAGUCCUUUUUCACUCCAGGAUGUAGCUGUCCCUGAAUGAAGCAUAGAAUACCUUUUGUUCACUGGAAAUAGGCAGUGCCAAUGCUGUUGCUAAAGGAAGGAUUUACAAUGAUGAAUGGAAUAAUAAAUGAAUAUGGAGACAGUGGAUCAAAAAGGCUUGGAAUAUGCAAAAGCGGAGCCCCACUCAUGUUAUUCUCUUGAGAUUGGAAAAGAUUCAUUUGUGGAAAGAGUCACAAAGAAACAAAAAAUAAGGAUUGGAAACUUGGACUCUCCACAACCUCCCUUUAUACUUGAAAGGUGCAAUUUCUGUGAUGUUCUGUGUUUUGCGUGUUGGCUCAUUUCACCAUCAGUGUAUUUCUUCGUUGUCAACGUUUAGGAAUAGAACUGGAGCACCCUACUCCCUACUGUCUACAAUAAUCCUGGAGGUUAGCAGUUGUUUAUUAUUUUGACGGUAAUUUUCACAAUAAUGGCGAUCCUUGGGAUCUAUGGUUUCUCUUCUAUCAUCUAUUGGCCUUAGCAUAAAUUGAUGAUAGCGUGCAUCUAAGGUAGUCUAGGAACUAUCUAUUGUUCACAUCAUUGGAUUAUCCAACAAAUGAAAGAGACUAAAGUGGUGUUGUCUUUUGUGAACUAUAUAUUCUUGAUUUGCUGUUUUCGUCUCCAGCUUGCAACAUCAUGAAGUUAAUUUUCCACUGAUAAAUGAGAGCAACAGGAGAUUUACUGAAACAACAUUUUGUGCUGUGGUAUUCCUUCUGGAUUUAGUCUGCAUUUCACAUCUGCAAACUUUAAAAAGUUACAGUCUACAAUUAAUUAAGAUCGACGUUGGAGAAGACAAAGAUGACCCCGUAGC
rnacentral:lncRNA from 1 species